GUACAGUGACUUUAGUGUCACAUGAGAUUGUGUCUGAAUGUUUCCUACAGCAUGAAAUGCCAGAAAUUGCAAGUGAAAUACAGGGAUUUAUUCAUGAUGAAGACAACAAAUUCAGAAUCUCUCCACAAUUAAAAGUUUUCAGGUACACCAUGUUCAGUUCAGUACCUAAAACUCUGGGAUUUGGCUGGAAAAUAUUAGACUAAUCCCCAGUAACUUUCAGGAUCUAAGAUCAUCUGAAUUAUUUAUAAGCUGAAAGACCCAUUCUGAUUGCCAGAGGAUUACAAGAGAAGGCAUCCAAGUGUACAGCUGGGCACUGCCACUGCCUUAUGCACACUCACCACAGACAGCUGCUCUCCUGUUGCCUCCAUCAAUACACCAGACCACUGGCUCUUGGUACCUAAAUUCUCCAGGUUUGCUUGGAUUUUUGAUGAACAUUGUAGUCUUCAUCACCAGCAUGAAAUAAAGAACUUGAAGCACAA